AACGAACGCUGGCGGCAUGCCUAACACAUGCAAGUCGAACGAUACCUUCGUGUCUUUUUUCUCACGUGUUCGUAACGCGUUGUAACCUUCCCUUAUGUUCGGAAUAACUCCCCUACAUGUGUUCUAAUACCGGAUAAUGUCUUCUGACCAAAGGUUUAUCGCCUUUGGUUGGGCCCGCGUUGGAUUAGCUUGUUGGUAGGGUAAAAGCCUAGCAAGGCGACGAUCCAUAGCUGGUAUGAGAGGAUGAUCAGCCACACUGGGACUGAGACACGGCAGAGACUAGUACGGGAGGGAGCAGAGGGGAAUAUUGGAAAAUGGGGGAAAGGAUGAAGAAGCAAUGAGGGGUGAGUGAUGAAGGGGGUAGGGAAGAAAAGGAAUUUUAAACGGGAAGAUAAUGACAGUAACGGGAGAAUAAGCAACGGCUAACUACGUG
rnacentral:rRNA from 1 species